rnacentral:rRNA from 1 species
CCUACGGGAGGCAGCAGUGAGGAAUAUUGGACAAUGGGCGCAAGCCUGAUCCAGCCAUGCCGCGUGCAGGAUGACGGUCCUAUGGAUUGUAAACUGCUUUUGCACAGGAAGAAACAACAUUACGUGUAAUGUCUUGACGGUACUGUGAGAAUAAGGAUCGGCUAACUCCGUGCCAGCAGCCGCGGUAAUACGGAGGAUCCAAGCGUUAUCCGGAAUCAUUGGGUUUAAAGGGUCCGUAGGCGGUUUAGUAAGUCAGUGGUGAAAGCCCAUCGCUCAACGGUGGAACGGCCAUUGAUACUGCUAGACUUGAAUUAUUAGGAAGUAACUAGAAUAUGUAGUGUAGCGGUGAAAUGCUUAGAGAUUACAUGGAAUACCAAUUGCGAAGGCAGGUUACUACUAAUUGAUUGACGCUGAUGGACGAAAGCGUGGGUAGCGAACAGGAUUAGAUACCCUGGUAGUCCACGCCGUAAACGAUGGAUACUAGCUGGUUAGGGUAGGACGAGUCUCUAGUGGUCGUAAGACGAAGUAGAGUAAGUAAUACCACCGUACGGGAGGUACGUUACGUACGAAGAAGUAGUAAACGUUAAAGUAAGUAGUAGACGUAGAGAGAGCGACGGACGGACGACGAGGAGGGAGGAG